rnacentral:rRNA from 1 species
GACGAACGCUGGCGGCGUGCUUAACACAUGCAAGUCGAACGGAAAGGCCCUGCUUGCAGGGUACUCGAGUGGCGAACGGGUGAGUAACACGUGGGUGAUCUGCCCUGCACUUCGGGAUAAGCCUGGGAAACUGGGUCUAAUACCGGAUAGGAGCCAUUUUUAGUGUGAUGGUUGGAAAGUUUUUUCGGUGUAGGAUGAGCUCGCGGCCUAUCAGCUUGUUGGUGGGGUAAUGGCCUACUAAGGCGGCGACGGGUAGCCGGCCUGAGAGGGUGGACGGCCACAUUGGGACUGAGAUACGGCCCAGACUCCUACGGGAGGCAGCAGUGGGGAAUAUUGCACAAUGGGCGCAAGCCUGAUGCAGCGACGCCGCGUGGGGGAUGACGGCCUUCGGGUUGUAAACUCCUUUCGCUAGGGACGAAGCUUUUGUGACGGUACCUAGAGAAGAAGCACCGGCUAACUACGUG